rnacentral:tRNA from 1 species
GUUUUUAUAGUUUAAUUAAAACAUUGGUCUUGUAAAUCAAAUUUAGAAUGUAUAUUUCUUUAAAACA